GGUUAAGUUAGAAAGGGCGCACGGUGGAUGCCUUGACACUAGGAGUCGAUGAAGGACGGGACUAACGCCGAUAUGCUUCGGGGAGCUGUAAGUAAGCUUUGAUCCGAAGAUUUCCGAAUGGGGAAACCCACCAUACGUAAUGGUAUGGUAUCCUUAUCUGAAUACAUAGGGUAAGGAAGACAGACCCAGGGAACUGAAACAUCUAAGUACCUGGAGGAAGAGAAAGCAAAUGCGAUUUCCUGAGUAGCGGCGAGCGAAACGGAACAUAGCCCAAACCAAGAGGCUUGCCUCUUGGGGUUGUAGGACAUUCUAUACGGAGUUACAAAGGAACGAGGUAGACGAAGCGACCUGGAAAGGUCCGUCGUAGAGGGUAACAACCCCGUAGUCGAAACUUCGUUCUCUCUUGAAUGUAUCCUGAGUACGGCGGAACACGUGAAAUUCCGUCGGAAUCUGGGAGGACCAUCUCCCAAGGCUAAAUACUCCCUAGUGAUCGAUAGUGAACCAGUACCGUGAGGGAAAGGUGAAAAGCACCCCGGAAGGGGAGUGAAAGAGAUCCUGAAACCGUGUGCCUACAAAUAGUCAGAGCCCGUUAACGGGUGAUGGCGUGCCUUUUGUAGAAUGAACCGGCGAGUUACGAUCCCGUGCGAGGUUAAGCUGAAGAGGCGGAGCCGCAGCGAAAGCGAGUCUGAAUAGGGCGUUUAGUACGUGGUCGUAGACCCGAAACCAGGUGAUCUACCCAUGUCCAGGGUGAAGUUCAGGUAACACUGAAUGGAGGCCCGAACCCACGCACGUUGAAAAGUGCGGGGAUGAGGUGUGGGUAGCGGAGAAAUUCCAAUCGAACCUGGAGAUAGCUGGUUCUCCCCGAAAUAGCUUUAGGGCUAGCCUUAAGUGUAAGAGUCUUGGAGGUAGAGCACUGAUUGGACUAGGGGUCCUCAUCGGAUUACCGAAUUCAGUCAAACUCCGAAUGCCAAUGACUUAUCCUUAGGAGUCAGACUGCGAGUGAUAAGAUCCGUAGUCAAAAGGGAAACAGCCCAGACCGCCAGCUAAGGUCCCAAAGUGUGUAUUAAGUGGAAAAGGAUGUGGAGUUGCUUAGACAACUAGGAUGUUGGCUUAGAAGCAGCCACCAUUUAAAGAGUGCGUAAUAGCUCACUAGUCGAGUGACUCUGCGCCGAAAAUGUACCGGGGCUAAAUACACCACCGAAGCUGCGGAUUGAUACCAAUGGUAUCAGUGGUAGGGGAGCGUUCUAAGGACAGUGAAGUCAGACCGUAAGGACUGGUGGAGUGCUUAGAAGUGAGAAUGCCGGUAUGAGUAGCGAAAGACGGGUGAGAAUCCCGUCCACCGAAUGCCUAAGGUUUCCUGAGGAAGGCUCGUCCGCUCAGGGUUAGUCAGGACCUAAGCCGAGGCCGACAGGCGUAGGCGAUGGACAACAGGUUGAUAUUCCUGUACCACCUCUUUAUCGUUUGAGCAAUGGAGGGACGCAGAAGGAUAGAAGAAGCGUGCGAUUGGUUGUGCACGUCCAAGCAGUUAGGCUGAUAAGUAGGCAAAUCCGCUUAUCGUAAAGGCUGAGCUGUGAUGGGGAAGCUCCUUAUGGAGCGAAGUCUUUGAUUCCCCGCUGCCAAGAAAAGCUUCUAGCGAGAUAAAAGGUGCCUGUACCGCAAACCGACACAGGUAGGCGAGGAGAGAAUCCUAAGGUGUGCGAGAGAACUCUGGUUAAGGAACUCGGCAAAAUGACCCCGUAACUUCGGGAGAAGGGGUGCUUUCUUAACGGAAAGCCGCAGUGAAUAGGCCCAAGCGACUGUUUAGCAAAAACACAGCUCUCUGCGAAGCCGUAAGGCGAAGUAUAGGGGGUGACACCUGCCCGGUGCUGGAAGGUUAAGGAGAGGGGUUAGCGUAAGCGAAGCUCUGAACUGAAGCCCCAGUAAACGGCGGCCGUAACUAUAACGGUCCUAAGGUAGCGAAAUUCCUUGUCGGGUAAGUUCCGACCCGCACGAAAGGUGUAACGAUUUGGGCACUGUCUCAACCAGAGACUCGGUGAAAUUAUAGUACCUGUGAAGAUGCAGGUUACCCGCGACAGGACGGAAAGACCCCGUGGAGCUUUACUGUAGCCUGAUAUUGAAUUUUGGUACAGUUUGUACAGGAUAGGCGGGAGCCAUUGAAACCGGAGCGCUAGCUUCGGUGGAGGCGCUGGUGGGAUACCGCCCUGACUGUAUUGAAAUUCUAACCUACGGGUCUUAUCGACCCGGGAGACAGUGUCAGGUGGGCAGUUUGACUGGGGCGGUCGCCUCCUAAAGUGUAACGGAGGCGCCCAAAGGUUCCCUCAGAAUGGUUGGAAAUCAUUCGUAGAGUGCAAAGGCAUAAGGGAGCUUGACUGCGAGACCUACAAGUCGAGCAGGGACGAAAGUCGGGCUUAGUGAUCCGGUGGUUCCGCAUGGAAGGGCCAUCGCUCAACGGAUAAAAGCUACCCCGGGGAUAACAGGCUUAUCUCCCCCAAGAGUCCACAUCGACGGGGAGGUUUGGCACCUCGAUGUCGGCUCAUCGCAUCCUGGGGCUGUAGUCGGUCCCAAGGGUUGGGCUGUUCGCCCAUUAAAGCGGUACGCGAGCUGGGUUCAGAACGUCGUGAGACAGUUCGGUCCCUAUCCGUCGUGGGCGUAGGAAAUUUGAGAGGAGCUGUCCUUAGUACGAGAGGACCGGGAUGGACGCACCGCUGGUGUACCAGUUGUUCUGCCAAGGGCAUAGCUGGGUAGCUAUGUGCGGAAGGGAUAAGUGCUGAAAGCAUCUAAG
rnacentral:rRNA from 1 species